rnacentral:rRNA from 1 species
AUGACGACGAAGGCAGGAUCAGAAGGGGCACGUUGCAGCCCCAAAGAAUUGGAAACCCUAGCAGCCGAGUUUCUCCUUAACGUGUGUGGUAAGGAACGUGAAGCCUGCUUAAGAUUUGAAGAGGAGCACGUGAGCGAAGAGGUCAACUUUUUGAUAUUUUAUUAUCCAAUGGCUUUAGAUGAAAAAUUGAGCUAUGUUAACAAUGGAGUAUACUUGGUAAUUGUUUUUAAAAAGAUAGAACAAUUUCUAGUUAUUACAUAUGUAGAGAAUAGAUCUUCAUCCAUCAAAAUCAUACCUAAGCUUGUGUUGAUAAAUUAA